GAUGAAGAACGCAGCGAAAUGCGAUAAGUAAUGUGAAUUGCAGAAUUCAGUGAAUCAUCGAAUCUUUGAACGCAUCUCGCGCUCCUUGGUAUUCUGAGGAGCAUGCCUGUUUGAGUGUCAUUAAAUUCUCAACUACACUGACUUUGAAUUGGUGUGGCUUGGAUUUGGGGGGAAAAUUGUUGUGGGCUUUUUGUAUAGUCUGCUCCCCUGAAAUUGAUUAGCGGUACCUUUGUGGAACUGUCUACAGGUGUGAUAAUUAUCUACAUCUUAGACAUCUGCUGGAAUGCUGCUUUCUAAACCUUACUUGUAUUGACAAUCUUGACCUCAAAUCAGGUAGGACUACCCGCUGAACUUAAGCAUAUCAAUAAGCGGAGGA
rnacentral:misc_RNA from 1 species